GCAGAUCAUAACAUGCAACUAUCUCACACAAUGAACUAAGCUCCAACUGGACAACAUAAACUAUCAUUUUCUGUAUAAGAAAAAAUGAAAAUUUAAGAUCGUUUCUGUUGCUUCAGUACCGACCCCUUCAUACUGGCUCCAAGGUGGUUUUGUUGUAGCCAUUUCCAAAACAGUGCAUCCAAGACUCCAAAUAUCAACAGCAAGAUUGCAACCACUUGAGUUCUUUAUAACCUGAGUGUAAAUUUAGAUUUGAUAUCACAAUUGAGAAACAUGUUGUUAUUAAUGAGUUCAGGUACAAAAAGGAAUAAUUUCUGACCUCAGGAGCCAUCCAGUAAGGGCUUCCCUUGAAUGAUAAUGGACAUGACUGGCCGGCAAUCUGCACAGAGCAUUUAAUGUUUCGCUAAAUUCUCAUUUAAUCAGAUGCAAUUUAUACAUUUAUUAAAAGAAAUUAUUAUGCCUAAACUUACAUGCUUUGCCAUCCCAAAAUCUGCCAGCUUGACCCGCCCAUUUGGAUCCACAAGUAUGUUUGCUCCUUUAAUGUCCCUGUAAAAUAAAUGCCCUUUAUUUAAGAAUACAAACAAUGUAUAAAUUGAGCAGAGUAGCUAAUCUGUAUAUAGCAGCUUCAAACUUAUUCAAGAAUAGGAGGAUUAUCACCUGUGGACUGUAUGCUUUGAGUGUAAGAAUGCAAGCCCAGACAAGAUUUGUUGUGUAUAAUUACGAAUUGCCGGUUCGCCAAAAUGUCCAUAAUCCUGGAGAAGUUUAUAAAUUGACCCACCAGAUACAUACUCCAGGUAUAUAUAAAGUUUGUCCUCAACCUGUUCGGGAAAAAAAAUCCAACAGUCAUAUUUGUACCAUAUGAAAAGACAAUGUCUGAAAAUAAAUAUCAACAGCUUUAAAUAACAAUUGUCACAUGCUUCAGUGAAUGGAAAUAGAACAAAAAUACUUACUGUUUUAGAUCCAUAGUAUUGCACGAUGUUUGGAUGCCGUAAGCGACUUAAUAAUACAAUUUCCUGCCACAGAACUCGAGUAAGAAUGUUUUCUUAAAGCUAUGCAUAUGUUACAAAACAAGGGAGCAAUUAAAUAAACUAUUCAAAGAAAGGAUGCAGGCAGCGGGGGGGAGGCAAAGAAACAAAAACCAUUAUCUAAUAAACUGAAAGCUGACUGUUAUACUUGGAAGUGAUCAUACCUGCAUCAGCUGCUUAGCACUCUCCUUUGACUUGGCAUCAUCAAAUAAUGUAACUUCCUUCAUUGCACACAUUUCACCACUAUCACUGGACCAGUUAAGAGGAGAAAUCAGAUACAUACAAACUUAAAUAAUGACCAACAUGUAAAAAUACCAAAACAGAUUAAAACAUCAUAUUUAAAAACCUCAGUCCUAAUGAGCCAUUUGUAAUCGAUAAUCAAGAAAAUCUGCUAACACUGAUCUCAACUACUUAGCUUGCUAAUGUACUAAAUUUGAUGGGAGGUUAAUACAAUUGUUUUGCAAGCCGUUUAUUAAUAAAAUCAAAGUGCACAUGCAUUAAAAAAAAUUAAAAAAAAGCAAUAUUCUUUGUGGCAAACCUGUUAAAACAAACAUAAACCACAAACCUGUUAAAACCAACAUAAACAUGUCCAAAUGUGCCUCUACCCAGCAUCUUUCCCUUUUUCCAGUGUGACUCGGGGCUAACUGGAUUUUCCACUCUUCCUGGACUUCGCGGCACAGAGGGUGAUGUUGCAGCCGAAUUUGAAUGAGAAAAGGGAGAAGAAUUGGAUAUUGUUAUAGGAGGAAGAGGCAAGCGGUGGCUUUGUUGUUUUCCAUCAUCAGGCCAGCUUGUCUGCGACUCAAUGGGUGCACCUCCUGCUCUAGGAUGAAUAGGGGUGACAGCACCACUUUGGAUUCUGGAGCUGGGGCCUGGGCUAGUCAUUCUGGGACUAGGUAUUGGUGAAUAUUCUGGGCUACCCCUGCUUUGUAACUGUUGCCAAAAUAACUGUCCUGACAUAUCACCUCCCAUCGAAUUAUUACCAGAAUUUUGACCAGAACCUGGACUAGAGCAGUGGCCAGAGCCAAGUAAUGUGACAUCUGCAUAAGGCUUCCCAGACCAGAAAGCAGAAUUCACGACUUGCUCACUACCAAAUGCUCUCAGUGGACUUCUGGAGGGACUUGACAACGAGCUGUCAGGAGCACUGCUGAAAGCACCAUGAUACGGAACCUGUAGAUUUGGCACAUGACCACUUAAACGUCUUUGUUUGGGUGAUGGGGAGAGACGAUUACUCAAUGAAAGAUUUGCCGGUUUUUUUUCCUCUCUUGAACUUGUUUGAGAGGCAUUGGAAAGAUGAUCCUUGGGCAUCACACUUCAGGGGUGGAAAGAAAGAUGGAGUCAAUUGAUCAGGAAUAAGUAGAUAUAAUAAAACAUCAAUAACAUGUGAACACAAAUUUCCCAUACAUUUACAUUUUUAUCCAUUGUCAAAGCGUCGAGUUUAAUGAGUUACGAGCAGGCUAACCUGGAAGGGCUGCUUGCAGCUGUUCUAGUCCCAUUGUCAUAGUCAUUUGCCAGCGGACUGCGAUGACGGGAGUCAGCUUGAUCGUCACUAUCAAUGGAGCUCUCACUGGAAAUAGAGGCGGUGAUCAAAUCUCCAUCCAAGUCAGCAGGAUUUGCCCUACUACGUAUGCAUGCCGGUCUUGGAAGAGGUAAAAACAAUGAAGACUUGGAACCUUUUUCCAGUUUUGGCUUAGUGGAGAUACUAAUUUCAGAAGCUGUACGACUUACAGCUGCAGAGCGCAAACCAGGAAGUGGAAGUGGUUGAGCAUUGGACCUUUCAACAAAACUUUGACUCCUCCCUACUUGCUUGGAAGGGGAAGUUGAUCUAGAUUCUGCUCGGGACUGGGAUCCUAGCUCCGAAACUGUAUCAUUGCAAGGUCUGCGAGACCCUCCUGAUUUACUGCUUGCUUUACCUUCACAUGUGAUCUUAAUUUUUUGAUGUAUUGUGCAAAUUAUACCAUCCUUACUUGCUUUUUUCUUCGACGAUGACUUUCCCCACCAAGAACGCAUUUUUCUUAUUCUUCAAUAUUUACCAAAAAAAGAAUAAAGCAGCUGGAAAUUUCUUCUAAGGCAAUUCCGUUUCUAAAACCAACAACCAAUCGUGCAACACUUUAUUCUAAAAUUCUAAAACCUGAACAAAAAAAACAAUGAAAAAUAUAACAUGGUCAAUAAUUAGCAAGACUGUGUCUAUGUCACUGUCAACUCCAAAAUCAAAUUAAACAAAAGUGAGAAAAAUUGCAUGUCUGAAUGUUAUACUGAAGCAAUGAACUGAUCAAAAAAAAAAAAAAACCUCACAGGCAAUAUGAAAAGUCAAAAUUAGUCAGCCAAUUUUGACUGAUUAGCAAAGCUACCUCAUCCAACAACCUCAAAAAAGGAACCACAUUUUUAUACUUAAAACCGCGUAAAUUAAGCACGUCUUGUACGUGCAUUAUAUAUAAUCACAACGCAAAUCAUAUUAGUUCAAAUUUCUAACUACAUAUAGGAACUGGCAAAAUAAACACGUGCGCUAAAAAUAAAAUCUGAAAUUCAUUCACUAAAAAUAACUCGAUUUUUCUCAAAUGAACUAAACAGAGUUUUACGAUCUUUAACUUAGUUCAAAACGACGGCGUUAAUAGACAGAUCUCAGCACAGGCUAAAAAUAAAGACAUAAAAAAGAAUACUAAUAAUAAUAACAAAAAAUUGUACUCACCGGCACAUGUUUUAACGGCAGUUUGAAUCUGAAGUGAAGAAGAAACGUACGUCUGAGAGAUUAGUUGCGUAAUGUUGAGAUGAGAACUGGUUGAAUGUAAUCGUGGAGAAAUGAAAGAACCCUAGUCAAAACGGCAGCGUAUUGAGGGAUUCCUUUGCAAGAAGAAUUUUGUUGUUGUUGAGUUCAAAGAGAGAGAUCGCGUAAAAAGAAGACAGAGAUUGAUAGAAAUGUAGAGAGAGAAAGAGAAGGAAAGGGAAGAGAGAGAGAGUAUGUCUGAGCCCAAGACAUGGAGUUGUCUGUGCGUUGAUUUUACAAUUAUUAAAAAAAAUACAUAUAUAUAUAUAUAUAUUAAAAUUAUAUUAUAUUAUAAUUAUUAAAAAGUAAUGAUGGUGAUUGCCGCAUUGGUAAAUUUCCGAGUACAGUAAACUCGUUUUUAACCGUUAGUUACCCCAAAAAAAUUUAAAAAGAAAAAAAUCUUUAGGGGAGAUGGACUGAUGGAGCAUGCCACGUCAUCAUGCUGCUAAUUAUAAAUUUAUUAUGUAAUAAAUAUAAUAUGCGUCAAGAUGUCAUCUAAAAUAAUAAUAAUAAUAGAUAAUAUUAUGUACUGUAUUAAUAUUAUGUUCUGUAUUUGAUUAUUGCCAGAUUUUUCUUUAUUUGAAAGUGACUUUUUUUUGGUAAUUAUAAUUUUUUAUUUUACCGUUAUAGUAUAUUUUAGUUUAUUUAAUGACUUGCGUGGUCGAUCUUACUAAGAUUUUAAAAUUUUUCUUUAAAUUUAAUGUAAUGUUUUAGUGAUAUUACUCACUUAAUGUUUUUCAACACACAAAAUAUUAGCAACACAAUAUAAUAAACUACAAAUACUAAUAAAUAAAUAAACAAGCAAAAGAAGAAUUGUAACUUUAUAAUAUAUAUUCAAAAUUAAUAUAGAAAUUAUUUUUUUUUACAAGAAAUGAAAUAAUCGAAACCAGAAAUUAAUGAUUAUUGGAAUCUGCUUGUUUGAGUGCUCGAGGACAAGUUUAUUCCCCAUCAAAACAAAUUUAAAUGUUGACGAGAUAAACUGAUCAUCUCAACAUAUACGACCAGAUUUCUACAUCAAAAUUUGCUAUUGUGUUGCGCGUUGGGCUCACGACCUGCGUGGCUUAUUCUCAAAGAUCACAUGGGUUCAUUGCUGCUGCGCUACUAGUGCUAGGUUUGCUACUGUGUUGAGUGCUGGGCUUGCGAUUUGUGUGGCUACCUACUGCCUACUGCUGUGAUUUUCUGACUCACAUGCUGGGCUCAUGACGAUCGCUGGCGAUAACGGCUAUGAGGCUGAGAGGGUGCGGCUGUUGGCUAUGCGGUAGGCAGUUGGUGUCUUGUGUUGUUGUACAUUUGUUUCACUUGUUUAAUUUAUGGCUAGGGAUACGGUAGCCUCAAGCCUGUUUUGAUUUUGAUUUUUUUUUUAAUUUGAAUUAUUUUUUUAUUUUAUAUAUUAUAGAGUUUUUACUAAAGACCAUAAUCAGGCCCACUAUAUACAAACUUUAUAUCUUUUAUCCUUAAUAACGUGUCUAAGAAGGAAAAAAAUAGGACAUCCGCAUUAAAAAAAAAAAUACAAAUAUUUCCUAUUGUCAUUUUUCCAAGAUCUUCCAAUUUCUGGUCUGUGGACCAAAGCACAUUCUUGGUUUUUGAUUCGUUAUUACUUCCGAGUUUUGUCUCUUGUGUUGGUUGGAUGAGGACGCUGGAGAAUGACAUGGGGCUGGCUUGUUUCCUAACAAGCAUUAUCACCGCUCGGUAUGCUCAUCUUAGCCAGCCAGCAUAAAUCACACAUAAAUGACAAUGGCCUGAUAUUGUGACCUAAUUACUACAUUUAUCUCUUCACUCAAAAAUUUUCUCUUUUGACUUUUGGUCCAGAAGAGGGCUUCGGCAGCCCAACUGCAUUUAAGCUUUGCAGGGCUAUCGCAACUCCAGGAAACAUCACAGCAUCUCCAGUCAAUUUGCUCAAAACUUAUCUUCUUUGACUCUGAAUCACAGUCAUUCAUCAUGGUGGAAUAACUCAACUUAAAAAAAUUUUAUACGGUCCUAACAUAGCAACUCGAUUAAUAUCUUAGAUUUCUUCUACAAAUAACUUCAAUUUCUUAUCAGUAAGCAGAGCCAAAAGAAAAAACUUUUCACAAACAAAUCAAACGAGAUGCAUCAAGCCUCAAACUUCUCACCAAAAGGAUAUCCAAAGGCAAUAACUAAACAAACUUUGAUACUCAAAUUUUAAUUCACGACACCGAAACUAAUUAAACAUUUCAUAAAGCUCCCAACUUUCAAAGGCCAAACAACAGCAUAUAAAAACCCAAGAUCCCAUAUCCCUUUUUCUCUUAUUUUCCCUCAGUUUCUCAGCUACCAAACACAUAACCUGUGAAUAUGUGUGUGUAAAAUAAUAAUAAUAAUAAUAAUAAUAAUAAAACUCUGUUUUUUUUUCCCGGACAAAACUUAUACUAAAAACAAAAUAACCCAUUAAAGAGAAGAAUAGUUACAACCCCAUAAACGAACCUGAAUCGCGGCUGGCCGGAGGCGGGACUCAGCUGAAACUAUGGCGGUUGCAGCGGCGUUAACGGUCUCGACGCUGUCGUGAACACUACUCAUCUUAUUUUCAAAUUUUCAAAACAUGAAACGACGACACAAACGAGUUGUGUAAUAACAUCUACAGCUUCCGUUUGGAUCUCCAAACGAAUUUGAAAAUAAGAUGAGUAGAGUUCACAAACGACUCAGCUCAGGGGCCAAAAUAGUUCUUUCCAAAGGUGCAGCACCCUUCACAAAAGGGUGAUCCAAAAGCUUAACUGCUGUUGGACGGUUUAAGGGAUUACGUUGCAAACACAACCUAAUAAAAUCCUUUCCUUCAUCAGAGAGGUCAUCUGGAAUUGUUGGGAGUUCCUUACUAUUCCCAAUCUUAAACAUAGCAGCAACCUGCAGAUCAUAACAUGCAACUAUCUCACACAAUGAACUGAGCUCCAACUGGACAACAUAAACUAUCAUUUUCUGUAUAAGAAAGAUGAAAAUUUAAGAUCGUUUCUGUUGCUUCAGUACUGACCCCUUCAUACUGGCUCCAAGGUGGUUUUGUUGUAGCCAUUUCCAAAACAGUGCACCCAAGACUCCAAAUAUCAACAGCAAGAUUGCAACCACUU
rnacentral:lncRNA from 1 species